UACGUAGGGUGCAAGCGUUAAUCGGAAUUACUGGGCGUAAAGCGUGCGCAGGCGGUUUUGUAAGACUGUCGUGAAAUCCCCGGGCUCAACCUGGGAAUGGCGAUGGUGACUGCAAGGCUAGAGUUUGGCAGAGGGGGGUAGAAUUCCACGUGUAGCAGUGAAAUGCGUAGAGAUGUGGAGGAAUACCGAUGGCGAAGGCAGCCCCCUGGGCCAAUACUGACGCUCAUGCACGAAAGCGUGGGGAGCAAACAGG
rnacentral:rRNA from 1 species